AUUUAUUUAUUGUCUGUUUCGUUUGUUUGUUGUUUGUGGUUACCUGGACGUCUUCCAUUCCGGGAUGGCCGAGGCCAUGCAGCGAGAGGCUGUCACCCAUGCCCGCGUCCAGGCCGUGGUGCGCGGAAUGCAGAACUGACUCAUGGAGCUCAGACGGAGAACACAAUGCAGAGAGAAGCAGCUGCAGCCUCGUCCAAUUAUGGUGCUAAAUUACCAAGCCAAAGGCGCCCAAAGGAAGACAGAAACAGAGAGUGAGACACACACACAGAGACGGAGAGACAGAGAGACAGUGAGAGGAGGGAGCAUGCAAUUCUGGUACAACGUGAAUCCAAACUCACCAUGGAUGAAUAGGUGUGGACUAACAUCUGGAAAAAAAAGCCUGGUUACUGCUCAAAAUCAAACAAAGAUUAAAAAAAAAAAUCAGGAGUCCAGCAGAGAAACGAGCUGGACACAGGAGCCGAGCUUGAGGUGUUUCCAGGACAAGCCAUCAAAAAAAAAAAAAAAAAUUACCCCCACCCCCACCCCC